CUAUACAUGCAGUCGAGCGACAGACAAGGAGCUUGCUCCUUUGACGUUAGCGGCGGACGGGUGAGUAACACGUGGGUAACCUACCUAUAAGACUGGGAUAACUUCGGGAAACCGGAGCUAAUACCGGAUAAUAUUUCGAACCGCAUGGUUCGAUAGUGAAAGAUGGUUUUGCUAUCACUUAUAGAUGGACCCGCGCCGUAUUAGCUAGUUGGUAAGGUAACGGCUUACCAAGGCGACGAUACGUAGCCGACCUGAGAGGGUGAUCGGCCACACUGGAACUGAGACACGGUCCAGACUCCUACGGGAGGCAGCAGUAGGGAAUCUUCCGCAAUGGGCGAAAGCCUGACGGAGCAACGCCGCGUGAGUGAUGAAGGUCUUCGGAUCGUAAAACUCUGUUAUUAGGGAAGAACAUACGUGUAAGUAACUAUGCACGUCUUGACGGUACCUAAUCAGAAAGCCACGGCUAACUACGUGCCAGCAGCCGCGGUAAUACGUAGGUGGCAAGCGUUAUCCGGAAUUAUUGGGCGUAAAGCGCGCGUAGGCGGUUUUUUAAGUCUGAUGUGAAAGCCCACGGCUCAACCGUGGAGGGUCAUUGGAAACUGGAAAACUUGAGUGCAGAAGAGGAAAGUGGAAUUCCAUGUGUAGCGGUGAAAUGCGCAGAGAUAUGGAGGAACACCAGUGGCGAAGGCGACUUUCUGGUCUGUAACUGACGCUGAUGUGCGAAAGCGUGGGGAUCAAACAGGAUUAGAUACCCUGGUAGUCCACGCCGUAAACGAUGAGUGCUAAGGGUUUAGGGGGGUUUCCGCCCNCUUAGUGCUGCAGCUAACGCAUUAAGCACUCCGCCUGGGGAGUACGACCGCAAGGUUGAAACUCAAAGGAAUUGACGGGGACCCGCACAAGCGGUGGAGCAUGGGGGUUUAAUUCGAAGCAACGCGAAGAACCUUACCAAAUCUUGACAUCCUUUGACAACUCUAGAGAUAGAGCCUUCCCCUUCGGGGGACAAAGUGACAGGUGGGUGCAUGGGUUGUCGUCAGCUCGUGUCGUGAGAAGGUUGGGUUAAGUCCCGCAACGAGCGCAACCCUUAAGCUUAGUUGCCAUCAUUAAGUUGGGCACUCUAAGUUGACUGCCGGUGACAAACCGGAGGAA
rnacentral:rRNA from 1 species